GACGAACGCUGGCGGCGUGCUUAACACAUGCAAGUCGAACGAAGUGGCGAACGGGUGAGUAACGCGUAAUUAACCUGCCCUUCAGAGGGGGACAACAGUUGGAAACGACUGCUAAUACCGCAUACUUAAGUAGGUCAUUGCGUCUGAUUAGCUAGUUGUAGGGGUAACGGCCCACCAAGGCGAUGAUCAGUAGCCGGUCUGGAAGGGAUGACGGCCCAAUUGGGAAUGAGGACAGGGCCAGGACCCUACGGGAGGCAGCAGUGGGGAAUCUUCCGCAAUGGACGAAAGUGUGACGGGGCAAAGCCGCGGGAGUGAUGACGGCCUUCGGGUUGUAAAGCUCUGUUAAUCGGGACGCGGUACCGAAAUAGAAAGCCACGGCUAACUACGUGCCAGCAGCCGCGGUAAUUC
rnacentral:rRNA from 1 species